rnacentral:rRNA from 1 species
GCGUGAGUGAUGAAGGCCUUAGGGUUGUAAAGCUCUUUCGCCCACGACGAUAAUGACGGUAGUGGGAGAAGAAGCCUCGGCUAACUCCGUGCCAGCAGCCGCGGUAAUACGGAGGAGGCUAGCGUUGUUCGGAAUUACUGGGCGUAAAGCGUGCGUAGGCUGUUUGACAAGUCGGAUGUGAAAGCCCAGGGCUUAACCCUGGAAUAGCAUCCGAUACUGUCUUGCUAGAGUUGAGGAGAGGAGAGCGGAAUUCCCAGUGUAGAGGUAAAAUUCGU